rnacentral:rRNA from 1 species
UACGUAGGGUGCAAGCGUUAUCCGGAAUUAUUGGGCGUAAAGAGCUCGUAGGCGGUUUGUCGCGUCUGCUGUGAAAACUGGGGGCUCAACCCCCAGCCUGCAGUGGGUACGGGCAGACUAGAGUGCGGUAGGGGAGAUUGGAAUUCCUGGUGUAGCGGUGGAAUGCGCAGAUAUCAGGAGGAACACCGAUGGCGUAGGCAGAUCUCUGGGCCGUAACUGACGCUGAGGAGCGAAAGCAUGGGGAGCGAACAGG